rnacentral:rRNA from 1 species
UACGUAGGGUGCGAGCGUUGUCCGGAAUUACUGGGCGUAAAGAGCUCGUAGGUGGUUUGUCGCGUUGUUCGUGAAAACCGGGGGCUUAACCCUCGGCGUGCGGGCGAUACGGGCGGACUGGAGUACUGCAGGGGAGACUGGAAUUCCUGGUGUAGCGGUGGAAUGCGCAGAUAUCAGGAGGAACACCGGUGGCGAAGGCGGGUCUCUGGGCAGUAACUGACGCUGAGGAGCGAAAGCGUGGGGAGCGAACAGG